rnacentral:rRNA from 1 species
UGCAGUCGACGAGAUCUUCGGAUCUAGUGGCGCACGGGUGCGUAACGCGUGGGAAUCUGCCCUUAGGUACGGAAUAACAGUGAGAAAUUACUGCUAAUACCGUAUGAUGUCUUCGGACCAAAGAUUUAUCGCCUAAGGAUGAGCCCGCGUUGGAUUAGCUAGUUGGUGGGGUAAAGGCCUACCAAGGCGACGAUCCAUAGCUGGUCUGAGAGGAUGAUCAGCCACACUGGGACUGAGACACGGCCCAGACUCCUACGGGAGGCAGCAGUGGGGAAUAUUGGACAAUGGGGGAAACCCUGAUCCAGCAAUGCCGCGUGAGUGAUGAAGGCCUUAGGGUUGUAAAGCUCUUUUACCCGGGAUGAUAAUGACAGUACCGGGAGAAUAAGCUCCGGCUAACUCCGUGCCAGCAGCCGCGGUAAUACGGAGGGAGCUAGCGUUGUUCGGAAUUACU